rnacentral:rRNA from 1 species
UACGUAGGUGGCAAGCGUUGUCCGGAUUUACUGGGCGUAAAGAGCGCGCAGGCGGCUGACCAAGUCCGAUGUGAAAGCUCCCGGCUCAACUGGGAAACGGCAUCGGAAACUGAUCGGCUUGAAGGUGGGAGAGGGUAGUGGAAUUCCCGGUGUAGUGGUGAAAUGCGUAGAUAUCGGGAGGAACACCAGUGGCGAAGGCGACUACCUGGCCCACUCUUGACGCUGAGGCGCGAAAGCUAGGGGAGCAAACGGG